rnacentral:misc_RNA from 1 species
UCUGGCUUAUAGCCCAGCGGUCCCAUUAGAGUCCCCAACUUAAUGCUGGUAACUAAUGGCGAGGGUUGCGCUCGUUGCGGGACUUAACCCAACAUCUCACAACACGAGCUGACGACAGCCAUGCAGCACCUGUCUCCGCGUCUCCGAAGAGAACCCCCACUUUCAUGGGGUAGCACGGGAUGUCAAGCCUAGGUAAGGUUUUUCGCGUAGCAUCGAAUUAAACCACAUGCUCCACCGCUUGUGCGGGCCCCCGUCAAUUCCUUUGAGUUUUAAUCUUGCGACCGUAAUUCCCAGGCGGAAUACUUAAUGCGUUAGCUACGUCACCGAGACAAUUAGGAAUCCCGACAACUAGUAUUCAUCGUUUAGGGCGUGGACUAC